AAUGACUUAAAAUGUAGCUUAAUAAAUAUGAAUUAUUAUUUUCCAAAUGUGAAAUACCUCUGGGAGCAGAGUUACUGGAACAACAUCCAGGCAGGAGUCAGUGCUCAGUUCAGGGAAGGAAACAUCCUGUACCAAUAAAAAGCCUUUCAAGUGGGAAGGGCUGUGCACAGCAAGGUCUCCAUAGCAGAUGUCACGUGCUUCACCUGUGCUCAUCUGAGUCUGCCGAUGCUUCCAUGAAAACACCAGUUUUAGCAUCCUACACAUGAAGCCUUUGAAUCUAAGAGAAAUUACAAGCUUGCCUAAGGCCACCCAGCUGUUUUUAAAUGGCAGACAUGACAACCGAUAGUGGAUGACCUCAUGUUUUGUCAGAAACUGGAAAGUCACAGUGCUGAGCUUGAAAUAAUUUCAAGACAAAAAUACUUUAUUUAAAAAGUCUCUGUGGCUUUUGCAGAAAUAAACACUUGCGGGGGGAAAGGGGGUGGAGUGUCUCCAUUGGUCUAUGAGAGCAAGUGAGGCUUGCAACACUGGCUGGAUAUCGUGGGUAGAGGAACGGGAGGCAAUGGUGUGCAGCUUUAGUAGGCACAGAGUGACGACCUGUGAGGCAGGAGCCACUGUUACACCACACUGACCUGUGAGGCAGGAGCCACUGUUGCACACUGACCUGUGAGACAGGAGGCACUGUUGCACACUGACCUGUGAGACAGGAGGCACUGUUGCACACUGACCUGUGAGGCAGGAGCCACUGUUGCACACUGAUCUGUGAGGCAGGAGCCACUGUUGCACACUGACCUGUGAGACAGGAGGCACUGUUGCACAUUGAUCUGUGAGGCAGGAGCCACUGUUGCACAUUGAUCUGUGAGGCAGGAGCCACUGUUGCACACUGACCUGUGAGACAGGAGCUACUGUUAUACCACUCUGACCUGUGAGACAGGAGACAUUGUUGCACACUGACCUGUAAGGUAGGGGCCAUGGUGUGAGGCACAAAUGCUGUUUCCCUAGCCAUGUUCUUGGGAAAUUUGUCAGUCUGUGUGUGUAAAAUGCUGGCAUGAUAAUUCAUCAGUUUCCAAGUAGGACAGACAGUGCCUUAGGGCCUUCAUUGUUUCUGAUGACGUUGGGAAGGCAACAUCAUGGCCCACACACCUCCGUGGAGGUGGGGGGGGGCGACAUCAUAUGUGGCCCCUGAUGCACAAGUUCUCAGAGUUUCCCAGCCGACAGGAGUGGUGAAGGAAAUGAUGGAGAGAAAAUGUCCAUAACCUGUCACGUGUGCACCUGUAUUCUUAAAGGUGUGAGAGAUGCAGAUUAAAACCUAGGAAACAUCACUUCAGAUUGGCAAAAAUGAAAACACUGGCCAAUGCAGGAAAGUGGGUCAGAGGGCACUGACUGCAUGCUUCGGGUGGACGUGUAAAGCAGGGGACGUAUACUGUGACGAGGAAAGUGGGAGAUAGGGAGAUGGCUCACCGUGUAAGAGGGGAUGCUUUGCAAGGGUGAGGAUCUGAGUUUGAAUCCUCAGCACCCACACAGAAAGCCAGAGGUGGCCAUGUGUGCCUGUAAUCCCAGCUUUAUGCAUAGAGACCAGAAGAUCCUGAGAGCUUGCUGGCUAGCCGGCCCAGAACCUCCAAGUCGGUGAAAGACCCUGUCUCAAGGCAGUAAGGAGGGGAAUGGUAGGGAAGGCACAGCAUGUACACACAUAGAAACCUUCAUACCAUGUGCAUAUCUCUCUCUCUCCCCCCUCUCUCUCUCUCUCUCUCUCUCUCUCUCUCUCUUUCUCUCUCUCUCUCUCUCUCUCUCUCAUCACGACAGCUGGAACAAGAGAAGGGCUACUGGGGAUCCAUCCUGGUGGGGAAGUCAAGGCAGUGAGAGAUCAAGCAGCUGGCCACAUUGCAUCCACAGGCAGGGACAAGAGAGUGAAUGGGUGCACGCUGCUGUUCCUCUCUGUCUUUCUGUUGACAGGAUCCAGGAUCCCAUCCAGGGAAUGGCGCCAACUCAACAAACUGAUUUCCAAGAUAAUUCCGACUAGGCAUGCCCAGAGACCCUUCUCCAUGUGAAUCUAGAUUCUGUCAGGUAGAUAGUUAACAGUACC
rnacentral:lncRNA from 1 species